rnacentral:pre_miRNA from 1 species
GGUGGGAUAGCUGGGUCAGAUGGUAGUUCCAUUGCAGGUUUUCUGAGGAAUCUCCAUACUGCUUUCCAGAGUGGAUGCACCAAUUUGCAGUCCCACCAGCAAU